rnacentral:rRNA from 1 species
UACGAGGGGGGCUAGCGUUGUUCGGAAUUACUGGGCGUAAAGGGCGCGUAGGCGGCCAUUCAAGUUAGGUGUGAAAGCCCGGAGCUCAACUCCGGAAUUGCCAUUGAAACUGUUUGGCUCGAGUACGAGAGAGGUGAGUGGAAUUCCCAGUGUAGAGGUGAAAUUCGUAGAUAUUGGGAAGAACACCGGUGGCGAAGGCGGCUCACUGGCUCGUAACUGACGCUCAUGCACGACAGCGUGGGGAUCAAACAGG